rnacentral:rRNA from 1 species
GAUCACUCGGCUCGUGGGUCGAUGAAGAACGCAGCAAAUUGCGCGUCGACAUGUGAACUGCAGGACACAUGAACAUCGACGUUUCGAACGCACAUUGCGGUCCAUGGAUUCCGUUCCCGGGCCACGUCUGGCUGAGGGUCGGCUACGUAUACUGAAG